rnacentral:rRNA from 1 species
GGCGGAAUGCUUUACACAUGCAAGUCGAACGGCAGCACGGGAGCUUGCUCCUGGUGGCGAGUGGCGAACGGGUGAGUAACAUAUCGGAACGUAUCCAAUAAUGGGGGAUAACUAAGCGAAAGCUUGGCUAAUACCGCAUACGCCCUGAGGGGGAAAGCUAGGGAUCUUCGGACCUGGCGUUAAUGGAGCGGCCGAUAUCUGAUUAGCUAGUUGGUGAGGUAAAGGCUCACCAAGGCGACGAUCAGUAGCUGGUCUGAGAGGACGACCAGCCACACUGGAACUGAGACACGGUCCAGACUCCUACGGGAGGCAGCAGUGGGGAAUUUUGGACAAUGGGCGCAAGCCUGAUCCAGCCAUUCCGCGUGAGUGAAGAAGGCCUUCGGGUUGUAAAGCUCUUUCGCAAGGGAAGAAAGAUUACGCUCUAACAUAGCGUGAUUAUGACGGUACCUUGAUAAGAAGCACCGGCUAACUACGUGCCAGCAGCCGCGGUAAUACGUAGGGUGCGAGCGUUAAUCGGAAUUACUGGGCGUAAAGCGUGCGCAGGCUGUUUUGUAAGUCAGAUGUGAAAUCCCCGAGCUCAACUUGGGAACUGCGUUUGAAACUACAAGACUAGAAUAUGUCAGAGGGGGGUAGAAUUCCACGUGUAGCAGUGAAAUGCGUAGAGAUGUGGAGGAAUAUCAAUGGCGAAGGCAGCCCCCUGGGAUAAUAUUGACGCUCAUGCACGAAAGCGUGGGGAGCAAACAGGAUUAGAUACCCUGGUAGUCCACGCCCUAAACGAUGUCAACUAGUUGUUGGUAGAGUAAAAUCUAUGAGUAACGCAGCUAACG